rnacentral:rRNA from 1 species
CCCUUAGAUGUUCUGGGCCGCACGCGCGCUACACUGUUCGACGCAGCGAGUCUUAACCUUGACCGAAAGGUUUGGGUAAUCUUCAGCAAAGUCGAACGUGAUGGGGAUCGAUCAUUGCAAUUAUUGAUCGUGAACGAGGAAUUCCUAGUAAGUGCAAGUCAUCAGCUUGCGCUGAUUACGUCCCUGCCCUUUGUACACACCGCCCGUCGCUACUACCGAUUGAAUGGUUUAGUGAGAUCUCUGGAUUGACGCUGGCUAGGGGGCGACCCUUGGCCAGGCUGUCGAGAAACUGCUCAAACUUGAUCAUUUAGAGGAAGGAAAAGUCGUAACA